CGCGAUCCUGUCACCUCGGGGGCGCUCUCUCAGUGGGCGUACGGCCUCGAGACGGCAUGCGCGUGGCUGUCGCGGCCUCACUGUCCCUUUUGGGGGCGUGCGUUGGACGCGUUCCGCUGCGUGUGUGUGCACGGGGGUCGGAGAGCAAGGGCGCGCGCGGUGUGACGCUCGGCGCCCUGUGCGCCUGAUGCUCCGCCGCGUGACUAUCCCGUUAUGCAUAUCCUGUGUGCGCUCUAGCUCCAUCGGGGCCC
rnacentral:snoRNA from 1 species